rnacentral:lncRNA from 1 species
GGUGGGGCAAUUGACAAGAAGAACUGAGCCAAAAAAGCACAACUAAGGAGGGGCCUGAUGGGCAGGCCAGUCAGAAUCAGUCCAUCCACCAGCCCGUCCCUGGGACCCUCUAGAAGAGGCACACAGAGCCCCGUGGGCUUCAGUUUGUCCUGAGGACAUUACUAUACCAUAGUGAGUGUUUUUAAUUGUUAGCCUUGUUAUAUAGUAAUAUAGUAAUAACCUGAUAAUCCUGACUCAUCCAUGAACUCCUACAGAAUUUUGUUGUACUCUUGUGAAGGAAUUCAGUAGUUGCUCAAUAUAAUGGGGAGAAUUCAGAUAGUGAUGUCAAGCUGACCUGGAUUCAAAUCCAGGCUCUCACAUGUAGCUUUAACUCUUGGGCAACCCCUUAAGCUCUCCUACCCUGUUUCCUCUGUAAAAUUAUAACAAUACCCAGUUUCUAGGGUAUAGGUCAUAUAUUUAAAAUGCUAAUAAAGUGCUUGGUACUUAAUAAGUAGUCAAUCCCCUAUUCAGAAGAAGAGCUGCCUCAGGUUUUCAUGAAUAUUGAAGUUUUCUGUCUCUGAGGUUUUAGUGAUAAAGCUGGUAUUCAGAUCUAAUCACCCCUGAAAUUGCUAUAGCAAAAUGAAGCCACCCACCCAGUGUGGAGUAUUGUUUACUCUGUUGCUCUUUGUUUCCUACAGAGCAUUAACUUUAUUUUUCAUCUUCAUCUGCCUGAAAUCUUUAAUUCCCAGUCUUUCCAUUUUGUUUGGUGAAUUGAGAAAAUCCCAUACCACCACCUCCUGCCCCUUUUUCUUAUUAAAACCUGCCCUAGAACUCUUACUUACCUGAAAUGCAUUUGAACCUUCUGCAGUCCAAAAUAACAGGGUGUAAUUAUUCUAAAAGAGCUCUCCACUGGAUCUGAGAAGCCAUUGUUUUGAGAAUGUGAGCUGUGGCUGGUGGAAGUGGCAAGUUCAGACUCACAGUGCAGGACAGUGUGCUGAAGCAGCCCGGUGGGCUCACGUACUGCAACCUCACAUGGAGGUGGGUAGUGCUCUGUUUUGAACCCCAGCCCCUUAAAGGAGAUUUCCAAACCAUCAUAAUUGCAAAGAAACCACUCAUUUCCUUAAAUAAGUUUAUGAAAAUGAAUUAUUUCUUGGAAGCUUUUAAUAUUUUCAGUUUUAAAUAUUAAGCCCUACAUGUUCCAUAGUAUAUUGUAUUCAGUAAGCCCUUAUUUAUCUGUAAGACAUGUCUAGAAUUUCUAUCAAACAAAUGUCAGAGAAGAGACAAGAUACAGUACAAAUAAAAUGAAUACCAAACUCUGAUAGGAAAUAGCAAUCCCUGAUUUGCUUUUCUCAGGGGGUGUUAAGAAACAGUGCUCUGAUGCUGUGGCAGUUCAUGAGUAUCUGUACACCAAGCACAAAUUAUUGGCAGUUCUUAGUUAUUGGUAACAUUUACUGAGUACCGGUGUGCAUGAUACUGACUAAGCACUUUGUAUCACCUCUUGUAAUCCUUACAGCAGUCCUAAAAGUCUGUCACCAUUAUUAUCCCCACUGUACAGAUGAAGCAGCUGAGGCUUUGAGAGUUUAUGAAACUUAUUCUACCAGAAUGUAGACACUGUCCUCCAUAGCAGAAGCUCUUGUGCCUAGAAUGGGGCCUGCUGCAGAGGAGAUACUCAACUUAGAUGCCAAAUUUACUCAAGUUCACACAUCUGGUUAGAAUUCAGGGAUUGACAAGGAAUUCCAUUCCAAGGGACUGUCGGACCCUAAAGCCUAUGGCUUAAAUUUACUUAUUUUCCUACCCCUCCCCUCCAUCAAUCAGCCCUGUGUUAGUUUCAGGGAAAUAGAGGAUGUGAUCCUCACCCUCUAGAUGCAUAAGCCAACGAAGAAGCUUACAACCCAGUAAAAAUGUUCCAAGUAUACUUGCUAAGUUUCAGCAUAGGAGUUGAGGCAACUAGGCACUAAAACACCCAGUUCUGCCCUAAGUGUUUGUUAAUUGGGCUUCAGGUUUAGCUGCUGUGACAACAAGACAUCAAAAUAUCAUGACUUAAGAAUUACCCGGUGGCCUAGUGGUCGAUAAUUCAGCAUUGUCACUUCGGUGGCUCAGGUCGCUGCUGUGGUGCAGGUUCCAUCCCUGACCCAGGAACGUCCACAUGCCAUCAGCACGGCCAACAAACCACCCCCCCCAAAAAAAAAACAAAAAAAAAUGUGGCUUAAACAAGAUAGAAAAUAUAUUUCUCUCACCAGAGCUGCCAAGGCAGCUGUGCCAUCUCUGGGUCUGAGGCAGCUCCCAGUUCUCACUCAUUAGGUUCUGCCAGCUGCUAGGGGUAAAGAACCAGGAUAACAGGCUCCUUCCUUUUGGAGAGUGUGGUCUGAAGAGGCUUGUUCCUCUCUGCAUUAAACUGGGUCACAUGGCCUCAGCAAACCACCCCAGAAGCUGGGAGUGCAGGCUCCAGCCAAGCAACCAUAAGUUCAUUUAAACUGAUUAUCACCAACCAGCUGUUUAUGCCACAGUCCACUUGGGAAGGGUGUGGAUGCCCUUGGCCCCUGGCCUUGUUGCUCUUCUGCGUCUUUUCUACCUGCCUUACCAUACCCUCCUUUUGACUAAAAUGUUAGGUUGGGCUAAGCUAUAUUGGGUGUUCCCAGUGGUCCAAAAAGGCCUAAAAUCAGAACCAUUACACUGAUUUUUAUCUUCUCUGUUUAACUUUUGGCUUUUUUUUUUUUCUUUUUAGGGCCGCACCUGCAGCAUAUGAAAGUUCCCAGGCUAGGAGUUGAAUCAGAGCUGCACCUGCCAGCCUACACCACAGCCAUGGCAACAGCAGAUCUGAGCCACAUCUGUGACCUAAACCACAACUUGUGGCAACACCAAAUCCUUAACCCACCGAGCAAGGCCAGGGAUCGAACCUGCAUCCUCAUGGACACUAGUCAGGUUCUUAACCUACUGAGCUGUUACGGGAACUCCAGCUUCUAUUUUUAAAUGCUUUUUAAAGUUUGUUUCCCCUUUAAGCCUAAAUAUUGCCAAUUUUUGAAAUCCCAUUAAUAC